UACGUAGGGACCAAGCGUUGUUCGGAUUUACUGGGCGUAAAGGGCGCGUAGGCGGCAAUUCAAGUCAUCUGUGAAAUCUCCGGGCUUAACUCGGAACGGUCAGAUGAUACUGCUUUGCUAGAGUGCGGAAGGGGCAAUCGGAAUUCUUGGUGUAGCGGUGAAAUGCGUAGAUAUCUGGAGGAAUACCGGUGGCGAAGGCGGCAUCCUGGACCGGCAUUGACGCUGAUGAGCGAAAGCUAGGGGAGCAAACGGG
rnacentral:rRNA from 1 species